GCGAGCUAUCUGCAUUGAUGACGUUAGAUUAUCCCGAAAAUGGAAGAUCUACUUACCCUCUUCUGGGUUCUGGGAAUUCAUUUGCCUUCAAAUUUAAAGACCAGAAAAAACGUGUUCAUCGAUUCACUUGCGGUACUGAUAACAUAGGUGAACUUGUUUCUGCUGUCAUGCAGAGAAUAGGGAUUUCUGAAGGGGAUACAAUUCAACUUCUGUAUGAAGAUGAUGAAGGUGACAGAGUUCUGCUGGCUACGGACAACGAUCUUUUUGGAGCUGUGAAUCAUGCUAGAUCCGCUGGGUGGAAGGUUCUAAGGCUGCACAUUGACACGCAAGAUGCUGCAGAAGAUGCAACAAAACCGUCG
rnacentral:misc_RNA from 1 species